rnacentral:tRNA from 1 species
GCCGAUUUAGCUCAGCGGUAGAGCACUUCACUCGUAAUGAAGGGGUCUCGGGUUCAAAUCCCGAAAUCGGCU